AUGAACGCUGGCGGCGUGCCUAAUACAUGCAAGUCGAGCGAACAGACGAGGAGCUUGCUCCUCUGACGUUAGCGGCGGACGGGUGAGUAACACGUGGAUAACCUACCUAUAAGACUGGGAUAACUUCGGGAAACCGGAGCUAAUACCGGAUAAUAUAUUGAACCGCAUGGUUCAAUAGUGAAAGACGGUUUUGCUGUCACUUAUAGAUGGAUCCGCGCCACAUUAGCUAGUUGGUAAGGUAACGGCUUACCAAGGCAACGAUGCGUAGCCGACCUGAGAGGGUGAUCGGCCACACUGGAACUGAGACACGGUCCAGACUCCUACGGGAGGCAGCAGUAGGGAAUCUUCCGCAAUGGGCGAAAGCCUGACGGAGCAACGCCGCGUGAGUGAUGAAGGUCUUCGGAUCGUAAAACUCUGUUAUUAGGGAAGAACAAAUGUGUAAGUAACUAUGCACGUCUUGACGGUACCUAAUCAGAAAGCCACGGCUAACUACGUG
rnacentral:rRNA from 1 species